AAAUGACGAUCAUUAGCUUCGUGGCACAGUUGAUAACGGUCAGCAACUGCUGACCACCGAUAACCAGUGUCAUUGGCUUUGUGCUGAAUACUGCGUCCUUCAAGGAACCCUACAAAUAAAAGUUCUGUACUGGCCUUCAGUUGAAAUACUGCAGAGAUCUGUUACAACAUGCAGUUCCUUGGUUGAAAUGCAAAGGAGGAUGGUAUUCACUACACUAAGACGUUCAACAAAUAAGAAUAACGUAUUAGCUUAAAUGCAGGAUGAUUAUAUACUCCGCAGUCAACACAGCAAAGAAUGAGAAGGCAGUUUUCUGUUUCUAUGACAUAAAGCAGCCAGCAGGAGUACAAGAAAAAGAUGUCUGUUUGUUUCAAAUUUUAAAGCUUGUAGUUCAUUUAUUUCUUGGCAGAUGUAAAUAGCUGACUGCUGUAUAAAAAGCUAGAGCACCAGACUUAAAUAUAACAAAUAACUCACGCAAAUAUUUAAACACUGGUAGUCACCUUAAAUUUGCAUGUUAGAAAAACGGAAUGUAAUGCAUAUUCCAUAAUAAAAGUGCUAUUAAUAAACAUAA